CAGUAGCCACGGUAAUACAGAGGGUGCGAGCGUUAAUCGGAUUUACUGGGCGUAAAGCGUGCGUAGGCGGCUUCUUAAGUCGGAUGUGAAAUCCCUGAGCUUAACUUAGGAAUUGCAUUCGAUACUGGGAAGCUAGAGUAUGGGAGAGGAUGGUAGAAUUCCAGGUGUAGCGGUGAAAUGCGUAGAGAUCUGGAGGAAUACCGAUGGCGAAGGCAGCCAUCUGGCCUAAUACUGACGCUGAGGUACGAAAGCAUGGGGAGCAAACAGGAUUAGAGACCCGAGUAGUCCCUGUCUCUUAUAC
rnacentral:rRNA from 1 species